AUCACCUGGUCUAAUCAUGCAUCCUUGUUUCAUAUUUCCAACUAUAGUUUGGAGCCAAGGGAAAUCCAGGAGACUAUUUGCCAGGAGAAAGAUUUCACCCCAUCAGGGACAACACUAUGUUAAACACAAGCCUGAGCCUGCAGCUCCUGCCCGGCGGUGUGGUCGUCUGAUGGAAAGCUGUCUCUAUCAUACCCCCUGCUGUGACCCCUGCGCCUUUUGCCGCUGUCGCCUCUUCAACACCGUCUGCCACUGCUUGAGACUGGGCCAUCACUGUCCCAAAAAGACCUAGACACACACACACAACCAUUCACCACAUACACACACAUACCACUGAACUGUCCCCAAGAAGACCCCCUACAGGCAAACACACAUACUACACCCACUCGCACAAACACAUACACUGAGUGUACAAACAUUAGGAACACCUGCUCCUGCUCUUUCCAUGACGUAGACUGACCAUGUGAAUCCAGGUGAAAGGUAUGAUCCAUUGUUGAUGUAGUUUGUUAAAUCCACUUCAAUCAGUGUAGAUGAACGGGGGGAGACGGGUUAAAGAAGGAUUUUUAAGCCUUGAGACUGUUGAGACAUGGAUUGU